UACGUAGGGUCCGAGCGUUGUCCGGAAUUACUGGGCGUAAAGAGCUCGUAGGUGGUUUGUCGCGUUGUUCGUGAAAACUCACAGCUCAACUGUGGGCCUGCAGUGGGUACGGGCAGACGUAGAGGUGCGGUAGGGGGAGACUGGAAUUCCGUGGUGGUAGCGGUGAAAUGCGCAGAUAUCAGGAGGAACACCGGUGGCGA
rnacentral:rRNA from 1 species